rnacentral:rRNA from 1 species
ACAUACGACCAUAGACUGAGGAGAAUUAGGCAUCCCGUCCGCUCUGCCAAAUACAAGCCUCAGAUCGGUAGAUNUCAGAUCGGUAGAUUAGUAGUUGGGUGGGUGACCACCAGCGAAUACCUACUGUUGUAUGUU